rnacentral:rRNA from 1 species
AGCGUAUAUUAAAGUUGUUGCAGUUAAGAAGCUCGUAGUUGAAUUUCUGCCUUGUCAUUAAUCUCGCUUCCGAGCGUUUUUUUAUUGGCUUGGCAUCUUCUGGAUUUGGUGCCUUCGGGUACUAUUUUCCAGGAUUUACUUUGAGAAAACUAGAGUGUUUCAAACAGGCAUUCGCCUUGAAUACUACAGCAUGGAAUAAUGAAGUAGGACUUUGGUUCUAUUUUGUUGGUUAUUGAGCCAGAGUAAUGGUUAAUAGGAGCAGUUGGGGGCAUUCGUAUUUAACUGUCAGAGGUGAAAUUCUUAGAUUUGUUAAAGACGAACUACUGCGAAAGCAUUUGCCAAGGAUGUUUUCAUUAAUCAAGAACGAAAGUUAGGGGAUCGAAGACGAUCAGAUACCGUCGUAGUCCUAACCAUAAAC